rnacentral:snRNA from 1 species
GACCUGAGAUGACUCACUGUU